AAAAAAAAAAAAAAAAAAAAAAGUCCAAUAUGUGCGUGUGUGUGUGUGUGUGUGUUUUGUUUUUUUUCCUAAGUUUGUGUGUCUUUUCU
rnacentral:ribozyme from 1 species